rnacentral:rRNA from 1 species
UACAGAGGUCUCAAGCGUUGUUCGGAUUCAUUGGGCGUAAAGGGUGCGUAGGCGGCGCGGUAAGUCGGGUGUGAAAUCUCGGAGCUUAACUCCGAAACUGCAUUCGAUACUGCCGUGCUUGAGGACUGGAGAGGAGACUGGAAUUUACGGUGUAGCGGCGAAAUGCGUAGAUAUCAGGAAGAACACCAACGGCGAAGGCAGCUCGCUGGGACGGUACUGACGCUGAGACGCGAAAGCGUGGGGAGCGAACAGG